AAGGUGCAAGCGUUAAUCGGAAUUACUGGGCGUAAAGCGUGCGUAGGUGGUUUGUUAAGUCAGAUGUGAAAGCCCCGGGCUCAACCUGGGAACUGCAUUUGAAACUGGUAAACUAGAGUAUAGGAGAGGAAAGUGGAAUUUCUGGUGUAGCGGUGAAAUGCGUAGAUAUUAGAAGGAACAUCAAUGGCGAAGGCAGCUUUCUGGACUAAUACUGACACUGAGGUACGAAAGCGUGGGUAGCAAACAGGAUUAGAUACCCUGGUAGUCCACGCCGUAAACGAUGAUAACUAGUCGUUGAGGGGGAUUACCCUUUAGUGGCGAAGCUAACGCGUUAAGUUAUCCGCCUGGGGAGUACGGCCGCAAGGUUAAACUCAAAGGAAAUUGACGGGGACCCGCACAAGCGGUGGAGCAUGUGGUUU
rnacentral:rRNA from 1 species